rnacentral:lncRNA from 1 species
AUGACUAAUAACACAAAAUAUUAAGGUUUACAAUACUUAAAUUUCACAUAAUAAUAGCCAUCAUCCAUCACUAAUAACACAAAAUAUUAAUUGUGUAUGAUGACCGGGCCACCGGGCCGAUUUCGGGUGACCCGAGCUAUGGCCCGGACCCGACCCGAAAUAAUGACCGGGUCUACUUUUGAGACCCAUACCCGACCCUAGACCCGAUGAAAUCACAUCAAAUUAGCCCCUAAAGUGUUCGGGACCGGGCCGGGUCUUCGGGCCGGACCGGGCCAUGCACACCCCUAA